AUCAUUAUUACUCAAGAACUGCAAAACAAACCGUAAUAUCCUCGCAGGUGGUUAUACUACGAAUUAUUUGUGAUUUUUUGGCAUACUACAUAUAUCCGUCACGGGUGCGGUUUUUUUUAAAAUCAUUAAUUGUAUCUAUGGAAAAAGCACAAAAACCAAAGUCAUUAUUUUAAGAUUUUUUUGAUUGAAAUGGGUUUUGCUUAGUGUGUUUAUGCUAAAUUAUAAGUUUCAGACGAUUUGAGUUGCAAAUAGUAGAGUUAUGAUUUAAAAAAAAAAAAAAAAAUUAUGGAGCCGGAAUAAAAAAUCAAGAUAUCUCAAGAACCGCAACAAAUACGGUAAUAUCCUCGCAGAUGGUUAUACUACAAAUUAUUUGAUAUUACCGUAUUUGUUGCGGUUCUUGAGAUAAUUUGAUUUUUUGUUCCGGCUCCAUACAUUUAUUUGGAAAAAAAUCAUAACUCUACUAUUUUCAACUCAAAUCGUCUGAAACUUAUAAUUUAGCAUAAACACACUAAGCAAAACCCAUUUCAAUAAAAAAAAUCUUAAAAUAAUGACUUUGGUUUAAGUGCUUUUUCCAUAGAAACAAUUAAUGAUUUAAAAAAAACCACACCCGUGACGGAUAUAUGUAGUAUGCCAAAAAAUCACAUAUAAUUCACUGUAUAACCACCUGUGAGGAUAUUACGGUUUGUUUAGUGGUUCUUGAGUAAUAAUGAUUUCUUGUUCCUGCUCCACACAUU